AGUGAACGCUGGCGGUAGGCCUAACACAUGCAAGUCGAACGGCAGCACAGUAAGAGCUUGCUCUUACGGGUGGCGAGUGGCGGACGGGUGAGGAAUACAUUGGAAUCUACUUUUUCGUGGGGGAUAACGUAGGGAAACUUACGCUAAUACCGCAUACGACCUACGGGUGAAAGCAGGGGAUCUUCGGACCUUGCGCGAUUGAAUGAGCCGAUGUCGGAUUAGCUAGUUGGCGGGGUAAAGGCCCACCAAGGCGACGAUCCGUAGCUGGUCUGAGAGGAUGAUCAGCCACACUGGAACUGAGACACGGUCCAGACUCCUACGGGAGGCAGCAGUGGGGAAUAUUGGACAAAGGGCGCAAGCCUGAUCCAGCCAUACCGCGUGGGUGAAGAAGGCCUUCGGGUUGUAAAGCCCUUUUGUUGGGAAAGAAAAGCAGCAGGUUAAUACCCCGCUGUUCUGACGGUACCCAAAGAAUAAGCACCGGCUAACUUCGUG
rnacentral:rRNA from 1 species